GAAAUACGAUAAAUAAUGUAAAUUGUAGAAUUCAGUGAAUCAUCGAAUCUUUGAACGCACAUUAUACCCGCCAGUACUCUAGCGGGCAUACCUAUUCGAACGUCAUUUCAACCAUCAAGCCCCGCGCUUAUGCUAGGGACCUACGGCUACCCGCAGGCUCCGAAAACCAGUAGCGGGCUCGCUAUCACUCCGAGCGUAGUAGUUUAUAUCUCGCUUAGGGCGUACUACGGGUUCCGGCUAUAAAAACCCCCCCUUACACCAAGGUUAACCUCGGAUUAGGUAGGAAUACCCGCUGAACUUAA
rnacentral:misc_RNA from 1 species